rnacentral:lncRNA from 1 species
GGAAUUGAUGAUUGGACUUAGCAAUGUGUGGGUCAGGGUGACCCUUGACAGAGCAGUUUUAACAGAAUGGUGAGCCUUGAAACCAUGAUUGAGGACAUUUAGCAGCGAGAAGAAAGAAAUCAAAGCCACUAAGUACAGGCAAUUCAAUCAGAGAUUUAUUUAACAGGCACCAGUAAAAGGGAGCUGAGACUUGGAUGAGCCAUAUGGAUGAGAAAGAAAAGGAGUGUGCUUAUCCAAGCUUGUGUCUGUCAAAUGAAGGUCAUCACAAUGAUGUGAAUUUGCCAGGUUGAAACGGAAGGAGACAAGGCUGAAAUGUGUCAGUGAGAUUGCAGGAACCAGGAAGAACCACUAAGGCUGUGCACAGAUAAGAAUCAAGCUUAGAGCCUCACUCCCAGGAUCUAACAGGAUGUCCUGACCUGAAACGACGUCAAGGUGCCCAGCCUGGGAGGGAGUCCAAGUCACACCUGAAACCCCUGUCUUCACUUUCAGACCAUUUUGCU